GAUGAACGCUGGCGGCGUGCUUAACACAUGCAAGUCGAACGAAGCAUUCUAACGGAACAUUUUCGGAUGGGAAGUUAAAAUGACUGAGUGGCUGACGGGUGAGUAACGCGUGGAUAACCUACCAUAUACAGGGGGACAACAGUUGGAAACGACUGCUAAUACCGCAUAAGCGCACAGUGCCGCAUGGCCCGGUGUGAAAAACUCCGGUGGUAUAUGAUGGAUCCGCGGCUGAUUAGCUAGUUGGUUAGGUAAUGGCCCACCAAAGCAACGAUCAGUGGCCGACCUCAGAGGGUGACCGGCCACAUUGGGACUGAGACACGGCCCAAACUCCUACGGGAGGCAGCAGUGGGGAAUAUUGCACAAUGGGCGAAAGCCUGAUGCAGCGACGCCGCGUGAGCGAAGAAGUAUUUCGGUAUGUAAAGCUCUAUCAGCAGGGAAGAAAAUGACGGUACCUGACUAAGAAGCCCCGGCUAACUACGUGCCAGCCGCCGCAGUAA
rnacentral:rRNA from 1 species